UAGGGAAUCUUCGGCAAUGGACGAAAGUCUGACCGAGCAACGCCGCGUGAGUGAAGAAGGUUUUCGGAUCGUAAAACUCUGUUGGUAGAGAAGAACGUUGGUGAGAGUGGAAAGCUCAUCAAGUGACGGUAACUACCUAGAAAGGGACGGCUAACUACGUGCCG
rnacentral:rRNA from 1 species